rnacentral:lncRNA from 1 species
UAGUACUGGAAAGGACAUAUGAUCCUAAAACUGGGUUGGAAUGCCUGAUCUUUAAGCCUAGUCAUGCUUCAAGUUUACAAGAUCUUGGAUUGGCUUCUUAUCACCUCCUGAGUAUUGUAACUGAUCUUGAUAGUGCUCGCUGGCACUUAGAAACGUGGGAUGUGUAACCAAUUUGCUGUAGUUAGUGGUGUUAGCCUCUUGUGAUGAUAGGAACCACCAUUCUUGAGAUAUGGGAAUGGUAAAACUAAGUCACUUUUUGAUUGAAAUAACUAAGAAGCUGCUUCUGCACUGACAGGGAUUGUGAAAUUUGAGAUGCCUAGUCUAUGAAAAUUCACAUGGAUUGCAUCAGAAAUGCAUAGCUCUAUACUUUUCAA